UUUCUGGAGGACUAGUGUUUAGGCCACAGCGCCCUUGCUACUGCGGCCUGGGUUCGAUUCCCAGCCAGGGAA